rnacentral:rRNA from 1 species
AAUCACUUGUCUUUUAAAUGAAGACCUGUAUGAAUGGCAUCACGAGGGCUUAACUGUCUCCCCUCUCCAGUCAAUGAAAUUGACCUCCCCGUGCAGAGGCGGGGAUAUUUAUAUAAGACGAGAAGACCCUGUGGAGCUUUAGACCUAAAGUAAACCACGUUUAAUGUACUAGAAUUAAUAGCAAAAACUUAGUGGACAUUUAUUUAAGUGUCUUUGGUUGGGGCGACCGCGGAGUAAAACAUAACCUCCAUGUGGACGGGGAUACUUUCCCUAAAACUCAGAGCCUCCACUCCAAACAACAGAAAUUCUGACCUUACUGAUCCGGUACAACCGAUUAACGAACCCAGUUACCCCAGGGAUAACAGCGCAAUCCCCUCUCAGAGCUCAUAUCGACGAGGGGGUUUACGACCUCGAUGUUGGAUCAGGACAUCCUAGUGGUGCAGCCGCUA